rnacentral:rRNA from 1 species
CAGCUCAACUGCAGAACUGCCUUUGAUACUGUUAGUCAUGAAUUUAGUUGAGGUAAGGGGAAUGUGUUGGGUACGGUUAAAUGGCUAGAGAUUAACACAGAACACCGAUUGCGAAGGAAUUUUACUAAGCUAUAAUUGACGCUGAUGCACGAAGCUGUGGGUAGCGAACAGGAUUAGAUACCCUGGUAUUCCACGCCGUAAACAAUGAUUACUCAUUGUUGGCAAUACAUAGUCUGCGACCGAGCAAAAGCAUUAAUUAAUCCACCUCGGGAGUACUUUGGCCUCACAAUGAAAACUCCU